rnacentral:rRNA from 1 species
AUUGAACGCUGGCGGCAGGCCUAACACAUGCAAGUCGAACGAGUGGCGGAAGGGUGAGUAAUGUAUGGGAAACUGCCCGAUGGAGGGGGAUAACUACUGGAAAAGGUAGCUAAUACCGCAUACCAUCGGAUGUGCCACGAUGGGAGUAGCUAGUAGGUGGGGUAACGGCUCACCUAGGCGACGAUCCCUAGCUGGUCUGAGAGGAUGACCAGCCACACUGGAACUAAGACACGGUCCAGACUCCUACGGGAGGCAGCAGUGGGGAAUAGUGCACAAUGGGCGCAAGCCUGAUGCAGCCCUGCCGCGUGUAUGAAGAAGGCCUUCGGGUUGUAAAGUACUUUCAGCGGGGAGGCGUUACCCGCAGAAGAAGCACCGGCUAACUCCGUGCCAGCAGCCGCGGUAAUUC